CCUAGCAAAGGUCAAGGCACAGCCAUCCACCACCACCUGCCCUCCUCCACUCUGGGAGCUUCCAUUCGGGUUCUGAAAUCUAAGCCUUAUAAGAAGAAACAUCAGAGGGAAUCUGGGGGACUCCUUUAGGAGGUACCAGUUCUAGGGAUUUUGCUGGGCUUUUCAAAGGGCCUUCCAUUGGAUAUUCCCACCUAAAAUGCUUCCGGCUUGCCGUACCUCAGAACACAGUGCUUGGCACAUAGCAGUUUUAAGGUACCAGAUGCAGUCUCCACUGGCGUCACGGCAACAUUGGAACCAGGACUGUGGGAAGGAUGCUGCAGCCAGGCUGGCAGGAAACCCCAAGAAGCCAAGGUGCCUGGAGCUCAAACCCAAGCCCCUGGUAGUCUGGUUUCUGAUUCUACCUCUUCUCUGGGACUGGUUUGGAAUUGGAAUGUAUGUUAGAGAUCUUCAAGAUUAAUCCUUUUAUUUUAGAGGUAAGUGUUUUAUAUACAUUAUCUCUUCUUGGAUUUUUUUUUUAACUC
rnacentral:lncRNA from 1 species